CCUACGUGUGGCAGCAGUGGGGAAUAUUGCGCAAUGGGCGAAAGCCUGACGCCGCGACGCCGCGUGAGGGAUGAAGGUCUUCGGAUCGUAAACCUCUGUCAGCAGGGAAGAACGGUCACUGUGCUAAUCAGCAGUGAAUUGACGGUACCUGCAAAGGAAGCACCGGCUAACUCCGUGCCAGCAGCCGCGGUAAUACGGAGGGUGCGAGCGUUAAUCGGAAUUACUGGGCGUAAAGCGCUCGUAGGCGGUAUGUCAAGUCAAGGGUGAAAUCCCCGCGCUCAACGGGGGAACUGCCUUUGAAACUGGGAAACUGGAGUGUGGGAGAGGAGAGUGGAAUUCCAGGGGUAGGAGUGAAAUGCGUAGAUAGAUGGAGGAACAUCAGUGGCGAAGGCGGAUAUCUGGCACAUAACUGACGCUGAGGAGCGAAAGCGUGGGUAGCAAACAGGAUUAGAUACCCUAGUAGUC
rnacentral:rRNA from 1 species